rnacentral:rRNA from 1 species
UACGAGUGCCCCAAGCGUUAUCCGGAAUCAUUGGGCGUAAAGGGUGUGUAGGUGGCACUACUAGUCUUCUGUUAAAAUCUUGGGCUUAACCCAAGACUUGCAGUGGAAACGGUAGAGCUAGAGGGUGCGAGAGGUAGAUGGAACUCAUGGAGUAGGGGUGAAAUCCGUUGAUAUCAUGGGGAACACCAAAGGCGAAGGCAAUCUACUAGUGCAUUCCUGACACUGAAACACGAAAGCGUGGGUAGCGAACGGG